rnacentral:rRNA from 1 species
UACAGAGGUGGCAAGCGUUGUUCGGAAUUACUGGGCGUAAAGGGCGCGUAGGCGGCCAUCUAAGUCAGACGUGAAAUCCCCCGGCUUAACCUGGGAACUGCGUCUGAUACUGGACGGCUUGAGUAUGGGAGAGGGAUGUAGAAUUCCAGGUGUAGCGGUGAAAUGCGUAGAUAUCUGGAGGAAUACCGGUGGCGAAGGCGGCAUCCUGGACCGGCAUUGACGCUGAGGCGCGAAAGCCAGGGGAGCAAACGGG